UUAAAUUGAAGAGUUUGAUCAUGGCUCAGAUUGAACGCUGGCGGCAGGCCUAACACAUGCAAGUCGAACGGUAACAGAAAGCAGCUUGCUGCUUUGCUGACGAGUGGCGGACGGGUGAGUA
rnacentral:rRNA from 1 species